CAGUAACGGCGAGUGAAGCGGCAACAGCUCAAAUUUGAAAUCUGGCCCCAGGCCCGAGUUGUAAUUUGCAGAGGAUGCUUUUGGUGCGGUGCCUUCCAAGUUCCCUAGAACGGGACGCCAGAGAGGGUGAGAGCCCCGUACAGUUGGACACCAAGCCUUUGUAAAGCUCCUUCGACGAGUCGAGUAGUUUGGGAAUGCUGCUCAAAAUGGGAGGUAUAUUUCUUCUAAAGCUAAAUACCGGCCAGAGACCGAUAGCGCACAAGUAGAGUGAUCGAAAGAUGAAAAGCACUUUGAAAAGAGGGUUAAACAGCACGUGAAAUUGUUAAAAGGGAAGCGCUUGUGACCAGACUUGCGUCCGGUGAAUCACCCAGCUCUCGCGGCUGGGGCACUUCGCCGGCUCAGGCCAGCAUCAGCUCGCUGUCGGGGACAAAAGCUUCAGGAACGUAGCUCUCUUCGGGGAGUGUUAUAGCCUGUUGCACAAUACCCUUCGGCGGGCUGAGGUACGCGCUCCGCAAGGAUGCUGGCAUAAUGGUCAUCAGCGACCCGUCUUGAAACACGGACCAAGGAGUCAACCUUAUGUGCGAGUGUUCGGGUGUCAAACCCCUACGCGUAAUGAAAGUGAACGCAGGUGAGAGCUUCGGCGCAUCAUCGACCGAUCCUGAUGUUCUCGGAUGGAUUUGAGUAAGAGCAUAUAGGGUUGGACCCGAAAGAAGGUGAACUAUGCGUGUAUAGGGUGAAGCCAGAGGAAACUCUGGUGGAGGCUCGCAGCGGUUCUGACGUGCAAAUCGAUCGUCAAAUAUGCGCAUGGGGGCGAAAGACUAAUCGAACCUUCUAGUA
rnacentral:rRNA from 1 species